GCUACCCGUCUAAUUAUUAACUCGUAUAAUAUGGAGGUGAUCGAGAUCAUGAACGAAGGAGGACGAUCGUCGGGGACAGCAGCUGCAAUUUUUGAUGACUGUUUUCACUUAGCUUGCGAUUUUCCUAUUUCUAGAUUCGAGCAUUGUAAUAGAGAAGCAAAUAAAGUUGCUCAUGAACUUGCCAAGUUGGCUAGAUCUUCAUUCAUUUCUGAUUGGUUCGAGGAACCACAUAAUGCAAUUGUACCAAUCCUCAUAAACGAUGUAAUGAUUAUUUUUAAUGAAUAA
rnacentral:rRNA from 1 species